ACUCCUACGGGAGGCAGCAGUGGGGAAUAUUGCACAAUGGGCGCAAGCCUGAUGCAGCCAUGCCGCGUGUGUGAAGAAGGCCUUCGGGUUGUAAAGCACUUUCAGUAAGGAGGAAAGGUUAGUAGUUAAUACCUGCUAGCUGUGACGUUACUUACAGAAGAAGCACCGGCUAACUCCGUGCCAGCAGCCGCGGUAAUACGGAGGGUGCGAGCGUUAAUCGGAAUCAUUGGGUUUAAAGGGUCCGUAGGUGGACGAUUAAGUCAGAGGUGAAAUCUUGCAGCUCAACUGUAAAAUUGCCUUUGAUACUGGUUGUCUUGAGUUAUUAUGAAGUGGUUAGAAUAUGUAGUGUAGCGGUGAAAUGCAUAGAUAUUACAUAGAAUACCAAUUGCGAAGGCAGAUCACUAAUAAUAUACUGACACUGAUGGACGAAAGCGUGGGUAGCGAACAGGAUUAGAUACCCUGGUAGGCUCUG
rnacentral:rRNA from 1 species